rnacentral:rRNA from 1 species
UUGAUACUGUCAGUCUAGAGUAUAGUUGAAGUUGGCGGAAUGUGUCAUGUAGCGGUGAAAUGCUUAGAUAUGACACAGAACACCGAUCGCGAAGGCAGCUAGCUAAGCUAUAACUGACGCUCAUGCACGAAAGCGUGGGGAUCAAACAGGAUUAGAUACCCUGGUAGUCCACGCUGUAAACGAUGAUUACUCGAUGUUGGCGAUACACAGUCAGCGUCUGAGCGAAAGCAAUAAGUAAUCCACCUGGGGAGUACGAUCGCAAGAUUGAAACUCAAAGGAAUUGACGGGGGCCCGCACAAGCGGAGGAGCAUGUGGUUUAAUUCGAUGAUACGCGAGGAACCUUACCUGGGCUCGAACGUAAGAUGACUGUAGGUGAAAGCUUACAUCUCUUCGGAGCAUUUUACGAGGUGCUGCAUGGUUGUCGUCAGCUCGUGCCGUGAGGUGUCGGGUUAAGUCCCAUAACGAGCGCAA